CGAGGGCAGAGCGGGAAGCUCCGCCCCUCGCGGAACCCCGGCCUGUGCGCAGUUCCCGUGCCCUAGGAGUUGGCGGCGGGGCCCAGCCGAGAAUCUUCUUCCCUUCUGGUCUGACUAGGAAAGCCAGAGGGAGAUGGUGAAGGAGACACAGAGAGAGUAAAAGAACAGACCAUGCCCAGCCUCUCCACUGCAGGAGCUUGGAAUCAGUGAAGCAGAGUUGCCAGCCAUCUAUGGAUCCUAACUAAAUUGGUCCUUGUAAUACUCGGUAUUAUUUGCCAAGAUAUUGAAAAACCUCUAAACAGUGAGAAGCUCCCAGCCCCUUUUCUGUGUCUCUCAUCACCAGCUGCUGUGCCCUGAGGACACCCAGGCAGCCUAAGGAGAGGCCCACAGGUGAGAAACUGCAUGUGUGAGCUGAGCUUGGAAGUGGAUCUUCUAUGUUUUGCCAACAGCCACGUGACUAGUUUUGGAAGCAGAUUCUCCAGCCCCAGCUGCACCUGUGCCAGAGGCACCCAUUAAGCCGCACCUAGUUAAAUUCCUGACCCACAAAGACUUUGAAAUCAUAAAUGUUUGUUGUUUUAAGCUGCUAAGUUUUGAAGUAAUCUGCCAUGUAGCAACAUGAAACUACUUGGACCAAAUAUGUGUUUUUCUAAGCACAGGAAUAUUCACACUUUAUUAAACUUGAGUAUUCCAACAAUAGGAUGGAAGUCCAAGUUUUAUUUCUUU
rnacentral:lncRNA from 10 species